rnacentral:lncRNA from 1 species
UCUUGGGCCUGGAAUUUGGCCUCCACUGUUCUUUAGUGGAAGAAAGAAAACGAAACAAAACAAACAAAAAUGACUGAGCAUUAUAGACUCUUGAGCCUGCCACAAAUUAUUUCUGAGUAGCCGGAAGGGAGAGUAAAAGGGCUAGCUUAUGUGUGUGGACAUAAGGAUGGGUUUGGCCUAGGUAGGAAUCAAGUCAAUGAUGCUAUGCUAAUUGGUCCUGUUUUCUUGGGGACCUACUGGUUAGGGCCUCUAAGUUCUUAUAUUGGGGACAGACUAUUAUCAUGCAGUAUUGAUUGGUCUAGAAUUAGCUCUGUAAAUCAAAUUGACCUCAAGCUCAGGGUGAAUCUCCUGCCUCUGCCAUCUGAAUUCUGAGUUACAAACUGUCCUAGAUAGGCUUUCUUGUGCUAUAACAAAAUAUCAUAAUCAAAACACAAGUGGGGGUGAAUGGCUUUAUUCAGCUUACACCUCCACAUUGCUGAUCAUCACCAAAGGAAGACAGGACAGGAACUCAAACGGGACAGGAACUUGGAAGCAGGAGUGGACCAGAGGCCAUGGGGGAGUGCUGCUUACUGGCUGCUCCUCGUGGUCAGCCUUCCUUGUAGAACCCAAGACCAGCAGCUCAGGGUUGACACCACCCUCUAUGGGCUGGGCCCUCCAGAACUGGUCACUAAUUGAGGUCCUUACACCUGGGUCUCUUGGAGGCAUUUCCUUAAGUAAGACUCCUUUCUUUCUGGUGACUCUAGCUGGUGUCAAGUUGACACAAAACCAGGCAUACCACCACACUAAGCUUUUGGGGUGUUAGGGAGUGAGGGGUGGGAUACAGAGUGUGCUCCUAAGGUCUCGGUCAUGCAGGAAAAUGCCUAAGCACUGAACCAGCCCUUACCUCCACUGGCUAAGGUAGUCGCUGCUUCUGAUAAUGAGUGGUGGAACCUUCCCUGGUGCCUUGAGUUUUGUUUACAUCUGCUGUGAGCGCCGAAUGUUGGGCUGCUGGGUUUCAGGUGGAAGAGUCUGGUGAGCACGUGAUCCUGGGCACUGGGGAGCUCUACCUGGACUGCGUGAUGCACGACCUUCGGAAGAUGUACUCCGAGAUCGACAUCAAGGUACCCUUCCCCUUAGCCAGCUCCAGAGGGAUGUCCUGCACAGGCAAAACCCUCACCCCUGGAUGGCCACUAGAGACCCUUCUGUGGAAAGGGCUUUCGGGGCUUCAUCGGGAAGGUUCUAGAGACCGGUUUGCCCGACUCACUGAGUCAUUUUCAGUGUCAUAUUUAAAUCCAGGCUCCCAAGCCGUAGUCAUUCUUGUCCCUUCAUUAGGAAAAGAACUAUUCUGUCUGGUGAUUGGCUCAGAGCGGAUGUGUCACAGAGAGUGGGAGUGGUUCUCAGGCCUAUCACCAAGUCUUGACCUAGCACCUGAGCCAUGCAUGGCAAAGCAUCCUCUCCACGGCCUCUGCUGCCGUGCGGCCGC